AAAUAGCUACUUCCGGUUUACAAAAGGUCACUUCCGGUUGUUUCUUUCAAGGUUAAAUGGUUUGAUACCUUUUUCCAAAAGUUUCAUAGCUUUAUCAUGUAUACAUAUAAAAUAAAAGCAAAGGUCAAAAUCUAGAACGUCAAAUUAAGCUAUGACCUUGAGAUCAAUUUCAAGGUCAUGAACUAAGGACCUCAAAUCAAAAGACCAUAGGUCUUAAUUAUAUUUGGUUACUGACUUAUAUCACCAAACGCGUAUUUUUAAAUACAAGAGGGGAGAAAACUCCCUUUUACGUUCAACGUGCCCUUGCAAUAAAAAUUUAUGUGUUACAACAUGUCGCAACUAACAAUUUAGUAAAAAUAAUUUGUUGACAUCUUAUACGGUCUUUGGAUAUAAGUGAAAAUAAGCCAAAUUCAAAUAUUAGAAUAUGACCUUGACCUUUGACCUUGACCUAAUUUUCAUUUUUUUGGACCAAGGACCUCAAAUCAAAAGAUCCUAGGUCUCUAUCACUUAUGGUUUAUAAGAUAGAAAUGCAUAUCACUUAUAUCAGAUGCAUAAGGGGAAAUAACUCUCAUAUGGAGCGGUCAUAUUGCUUCGGUCAAAAUAGGACAAAUCAUGCAAAGGAUAUAACGAGCAAUUUUGUAAAAUAAAUUUGUCAUUAUCUUUUACGGUUGCAAAGGAGUUGUGAGCACAAGGAAAACAGUGUUUGGGGAGAUAAUUCCUACAAAGAAAAGUAUUCGGUUACGCAGGGUAAAUUUCAAAAGCGCAUAAACUGUUCGAUAUCAUAUACCAAAUAUCAAAGCGACAUAUUGCGAAACAAAUGUUUAUCGCAAGAACAAAAUUAGGCGGAAGAAAAAAAAGAAAAAAAAAAUAAUCAGAAG
rnacentral:lncRNA from 1 species